UAGGGAAUCUUCCGCAAUGGACGCAAGUCUGACGGAGCAACGCCGCGUGAGUGAAGAAGGAUUUCGGUUCGUAAAACUCUGUUGUUAGAGAAGAACAGCGCAUAGAGUAACUGUUAUGCGUGUGACGGUAUCUAACCAGAAAGCCACGGCUAACUACGUGCCAGCAGCCGCGGUAAUACGUAGGUGGCAAGUGUUGUCCGGAUUUAUUGGGCGUAAAGCGAGCGCAGGCGGUCAAUUAAGUCUGAUGUGAAAGCCCCCGGCUCAACCGGGGAGGGUCAUUGGAAACUGGUUGACUUGAGUGCAGAAGAGGAGAGUGGAAUUCCAUGUGUAGCGGUGAAAUGCGUAGAUAUAUGGAGGAACACCAGUGGCGAAGGCGACUCUCUGGUCUGUAACUGACGCUGAGGCUCGAAAGCGUGGGUAGCAAACAGG
rnacentral:rRNA from 1 species